ensembl:lncRNA
GGAUCCCAUCGUUUUUGCUUGUAACCGUUUCACAGAAAGGUGACAGGUGCUCUUGAGUAGACCUUUCAGAUGUUUACACAUGCGGUGAUCAGUUCCUCCAAAGAGAUAGUUCCUCUCGGUUUAUAGUAUUUGAGAUGAAAUCAUACCCUUUAAAAAAAGGAGAAAACUGCUGAACUAAGGGGGUUGGCAAAGUAAUGUCACAUGGGUCAUUUUGUUUUAUUGUUAACCUGUAUCUUUCAUAUAACACUUCUGUGCCUUUAACAACGUCUAACUUUGAAUGCAAGGCUUUGGCUUGCGAUGCAGUGUUUGUAUUCUCUGCUUGAAGUUCAUUGUACAACUAUUUUUAUCGAUGUCUGCGUUGUGAUUAUACAUAGAACCAUAGCAAACAGAAGCUGGGAAAAGCGUCAGAUGAAUCCAUUUAUUAUUCCCAGAGCUAACAGCAGAAAGUACAGCAACAACUACCCUCUGUUCAUGGAACCACACCGGUGAUAUUUUGCACAUUGCGGAUAUAAACACACUAGCAAAGCGCAGUGAUCACUCCAUGCAAGGCAAAUAUGCGGUUUUUUUUAAUGAAAAUACACUAAUCGCUGUAGUCUUUUGAAACAUCUCAAGGUAACAGUGUUCUUCAGCCUCAGCAGUGCAACAAACCAGAGGUCUGGUUUUUGGGGGACUUCCUGGUUGUCUUCCUCCAACCCCCGCAAUCACGAGUCCACGCGGUUCCCGUUUGCGCAUUGGCUCCGAUAACAAAAAGGCACGUUCGUUCGUUGUCCGCCACCAAGAAAUACUGCCAGGAGCUCCGCAUUAGAUCAAAUUGAUGGGUUGGUGUUUUUUUUUGACGCUGCGGGUGCACGGCGGCCGCUCUUCACAGCUGUCCGUUGCGUCUGCGCGCGUACCAGCCGAGGAAGGCGCAGACGCCCACCACCGCCAGGACGGUGCCCAGGAGCAGGGCCAAAGCGUCGCCCGCGUCGUAAGCCUCCGCCGGCCGGACCAGGGACAGAAGCGCCAGGCAGGCGGCCGUCGCGGCGUGUCCGAGUUCAACUUUGGGAUACAUUGUUGCGCGUCGCGGCGGUUGUUGCUGUUGACUUCCGGAGGGGGGGGGGGGGGGGAGAAAGUCCCUGCGUCGGAACGGAAGCACGUGACGGCAACUUCCUGACGUGGCCAGCCAAUGGCGG